GCGGGCUGGACAAACGGCAAGUCGUUGGGCUCAUAACCCAAAGAAUCCUGGUUCGAAUCCAGGGCUCCGCA
rnacentral:tRNA from 1 species